GUUUUAAUAAUUUAAUAAAAUAUUGGUCUUGUAAACCAAACUUAAGGAAAACCUUUUAAAACU
rnacentral:tRNA from 1 species